GACCUAACACAUACAAAGAAAAUGAGCGGGUAAGAUCUUCGAAGAUGGAGCAAAUUCAUUGAUUGAAUGACAAGUACAGAACAAGAGAAAUUCUUCCGCCAUCUUUUUUCGUCUUCAAGUUUCCAUAGUAACCACAUCAGAUGAGCCCAUUAACAAUUUUCUUGGAAAAUCACUAGGGUUAUCCCUACCUAUGUUGGAACAAACUUAACACAUUCAUAAUAACAAAACAAUUUAAUCCUACAAGUGAAGUAAAAAAAAUUAAAAUUCGAAGAGGAUGAGUUUUUUGAGUUAUUUGAAAAGUCCAAAAAUUACACAUAAUUACACACCAUUGGAAUUCGUAAGGAUGCCUGUUGCGAACAAAUUUCGCCUUACACGAAUAAUAUUGUAUAGAAAGUCAACAUGCAUGAGAAUUCUAUGAUGAUUCAACGUAACUCAAAAGAAAUGUUAUUUGAAUUAUCGGAAUACAAUGAUUCACGGACCACGGAAAAUUAUUUGAGAAAUAUGUUCGGUGGAGUUUGAAGUUUGCAUGCCGUUGUUACCGAUGCAUUAUCCUAUGGUACAUCUUAAAGAGUCAAAAAUAGACAGGCGCUCCCAGGGUUAGACGUAAGCAUUCUUCUCGUCUGGUUUGCAAGCAAUGGCAAAACAGAGCGGAUGAAAACAUUCACCGUGCUAGAGAAUGGAGGUUAAGUUUACAUUUCAAUAAACAAGACACGCGGACUAAGAAUAUAAACGGCCAAUCUAUGAUAAUCUGAAUAUCAAUUUUACAAAAUUGCAAAUGUAAACAUGUAAGAAUUCGAAUUUAUAUCAAAACAAAAACAAAAUCUGUUUAAUUUUGCGGUGAAAUAUAUCAUACGUAAGAAACGUUAGGCUUGCCCAUCCCAUAACACGACGCAGACAAAAUGGAAAUUAUAUUCGUAGACUCUGGUCUAAAUAUAAGUAUUCUGACGAACGCUUGAAAACUUUUCACGCGACACAUUUUCACAGCUCUGUGAACGUCUUCUUCCAGUUUAAUAAAUGAAUAUUUCAUAGAAAAAUCCUGAUAACCAUCUUUUUAUCUUCUGAAUUUCAUAUUACUUAGUAGGAACAUUCUAAUAUGACCU
rnacentral:misc_RNA from 1 species